rnacentral:sRNA from 1 species
AGAUGGAAGGUCAACAUGGCCAAGACAUUUCACCCUAGUGCUCACCAGGGUUGACUUGACUGAUCUGAGUGACCACGGGGAUGUCCCCUUCCUCUCUCAUUACUCCUUAAAUCCCCUCUGUCAGACAGACUGGUCCCAGAUGGAGGGCAGUCAGUAGCUUUCCUCUCCUGCUGAAUCCUCCAAACACGCCCUCAAGACCUGACACAUAGUAGAUUCCCAAGGAGCAUCUGUUCAAUAUUGAAUGACCCGGUGGUCAGCACCAUUGUU